GAUGAACGCUAGCUACAGGCUUAACACAUGCAAGUCGAGGGGCAGCGCAGUGUAGCAAUACAUGGGCGGCGACCGGCGCACGGGUGCGUAACGCGUAUGCAACCUACCCAUAACAGGGGGAUAACACUGAGAAAUUGGUACUAAUACCCCGUAAUAUUACUGAAGGCAUCUUUAGUAGUUGAAAGUUCCGGCGGUUAUGGAUGGGCAUGCGUUGUAUUAGCUAGUUGGUGAGGUAACGGCUCACCAAGGCUGCGAUCAGUAGCCGGACUGAGAGGUUGAACGGCCACAUUGGGACUGAGAUACGGCCCAGACUCCUACGGGAGGCGGCAGUGGGGAAUAUUGGGCAAUGGGCGAAAGCCUGACCCAGCAACGCCGCGUGAAGGAAGAAGGUCUUCGGAUUGUAAACUUCUUUUAUGAGGGACGAAGGACGUGACGGUACCUCAUGAAUAAGCCACGGCUAACUACGUG
rnacentral:rRNA from 1 species